UCUCAUCCUCUUCCAAAGUAUAAAAUCAAUCUGAAAAGUUUUAGUUUACUUUUCCAUUCUAAGUUCAUAAACCCCCAUGAUUUAGGUAGUAUGUGUUUAUAUUAGAAACCCUCAAUUUCAAUUUAGGGUUCUUAAAAAUUCAAUUGAGAUCUCUACAAAACUAGUAUGAAGUAUGGGAGUUAAUUGAAGUGUUUUGAUGAUUGUAACUAUUGUAGAAGAAGGAGAACACACCUAGUACUAUCACCAUCUCCAUCUCUUUUGGGUUAGAAGCUUUUUAUGGUUAAUUAAAGUAGCAUCCAGAGGAGACUAGUAUGAAGUUCAUCAAACCAUUGAAGAACUUAUUAGCUAAAGAGGAUCUUGGUUUUGAUUUUCUGAAAUUUUGUGUGGAAUUAAUCUUGCUCAAAGAUCCAUUUUCAGGUUAGCUCUACGGUGGAGAGGAUGCCUACAUGUAUUAUGUGUUACGGGCGAGGCGAGGAC